GCAAACUUGGUCAUUUAGAGGAAGUAAAAGUCGUAACAAGGUUUCCGUAGGUGAACCUGCGGAAGGAUCAUUUCCGAAAAAUCUAUACCAACCCACUGUGUGAACAGUUAUUUGCCUUUUACUCUCUAGCCAAGUACGGGAUCAGAUGUUAUGUUCGACUGUGAGACCUUUGAAAGUGUCUAGUACACCGAUAAGCUCGCACUUUGAAUAUUCCAUCCCUGUGCCACUGGCGGAGAGGCCUUGUUGAACUACCUUCUUGAGGUUGAUCUACAAUUCUUCGUGCUUGACACAUUAAGUAAUUGACAUGACAACUUUUAACGGUGGAUCUCUUGGCUCGUGCAUCGAUGAAGAACGCAGC
rnacentral:misc_RNA from 1 species